AACGAACGCUGGCGGCAGGCUUAACACAUGCAAGUCGAACGCGAAAUCACCUUCGGGUGGUGGAGAGUGGCAGACGGGUGAGUAACGCGUGGAUAAUCUACCCAAUGAUCUGGGAUAACAUCUCGAAAGGGGUGCUAAUACCGGAUAAGACCACGGGAUCUCUGGAUUCUGCGGUAAAAGGUGGGGACCUUCGGGCCUACCGUCAUCGGAUGAGUCCGCGUACCAUUAGCUAGUUGGUGGGGUAAUGGCCUACCAAGGCUACGAUGGUUAGCUGGUCUGAGAGGAUGAUCAGCCACACUGGAACUGAGACACGGUCCAGACUCCUACGGGAGGCUG
rnacentral:rRNA from 1 species